AAAAUGUAGGACCUACAAUGCCUAUUUAUAUUCUCUAUUCCUAAUACCACCUGUAGAUGGCGCCAUAGCUUUUGGACAUUCUUGGGUUUCUCUGCAGCUAAAGAAUGGACUUCAACAAUUUAUUUAUUUAUUUUUGUGUGUAAAUUGAUGCAAACCUAGGAUGACAAUGUUAUACAUGUAUACACGGAAAAACAUAAAAUAAAAAAUAUUUGGAAGAUUUAUGACGUUGAUGACCGUUGAAACGCACGUCGUCAUCACGUCAGGCCAGCUGUGAGGGAGGGAAGUCGAAGCAGGUCGAGAAAGUUGGCGCUUUUAUCAGAUCGUUUGUUUGGAGUCUCUGUUUGUUCCAACCAUUGUGUUCCUUCAUGCUCCUCCAGAGACUACUAUCCAGAUUGUCCGUGCCAGUGUUGUGACUCUUGCAUCUUUCACCGUGUGAUGUUGUCCGGGGCCCGAGGAGUUCUUACAAACAGAUUGAUGGCAACAAUGUACAUGGAUGGUUCAGGGGUAAAGAAGGCCUUUAAAAAACACGGCUAUGUUGUGUUAUAAUAGGUGGCAAUUGCAUCAGAGGGAGAAGACUUCACAGUGCCUCCCUAUACAUGGAUGUCAGCUGACGUCAAUCACUUGUCUUCCGCCAUUUUGAGGACCUGAAGUGGUUGCAAAAGAACUAGAAGCUAUGCCUUCAAUAUGUUGUGAGCAUCAAAAUCGCUAUUUUAACAACACUAAGAAGGCUCAACACAACAUGAUACUUUGCUCGAAGUAUCGCCUAUGUCUCUACACGUGAACUCGAGCAUUGAGAACAUUGUUUGUGAACACAGAGUUAACUAAAAAGAAGGUUUUGAACAACUCACUUUGGAUGAUUUGGCGUCCGCUCGCCGCUUUCUUCCCAGUCAAGAUGUAUCGAUCUCCAAUUGCGACGUAAGGAGGGAGGAGAGUAAAGAUGAUAUCUCCUAAAGCAUAGUUCCUUAAAAAUGCACGGAUAAGUCGUUGUUUUGUUGCAAGUGAAAAACAAUAUUGACCUUCUAGUUGAAAAAGGAGCCUUAUAUGAGAUUCAUUCAUUCGCAUUCGGAAAUCGAUUAUUUACGUCUGGCAGAGAUGACGAGCGGACACCAUAACAGCCAAAGUCAGUUGUACAAAACCUUUCUUUUUAGUAAACUCUGUGUACAAAAACAAUGUUCUCAAU